rnacentral:lncRNA from 1 species
UAAACAUUUUUCUUGUCCAGUGACCUGAGUAGAAAAAGAUGUGUGGUGAAAUAUGGUUCUAAUUUAUAGGUGACCCAUAAAUAAGUCAUAUUUACUGACAGCUAAUAUGCCAAGCACUGUUCUAAGGACCUGCUUCCUCAAUUCAUUAUAGCAAGGAAUAAUGAAUGAGAAAGGAGUGAGGCUUGGGAGAAUAAGGAUUCUCUUGGAAUAAGGUAAAAAAAAAAAAAGAUUGUAAAGACAAGUCCAUGAUUUUUUGGGGUAACUCCAUGACAGAAAGGUACAAAUGAAAUCUGAGCAGAUGAGGCCUCCUGAAAAAUCCACUAAAUGUGAUGGAAAUCGCAUUUCUAGGGAAAGUAGUUUGAAUACCAAAAAAAGAACAUAUACAGAAAUGUAUGCUGACAUCUUUUAGUAGCAAUCCCAUAUUUGGCCACAAUCAACUGACUAAUUCCUCAGAAAAUUUAUUCAUUUGUUUAAAGAAAACCAACAGCACUUACUGUGUACAGGAAGUGACAUGGAAUCUUAAUGAGAUGGAUCUUGAGAUGUCACCUCUGAGAAUUCCAGCAUUAUCCUUACUUCCUUAUGCAUUAAUUAUGGUAUGGGUUGAUCCAUGCCCCUCCCCACCCACAGGACACCAAGAAAUGAACUGGGACUAUGGUCUACAACA